GACGAACGCCGGCGGCGUGCUUAACACAUGCAAGUCGAACGAUGAAGAAGAGCUUGCUCUUCGGAUUAGUGGCGAACGGGUGAGUAACACGUGACUAACCUGCCCCUUUCUCUGGGAUAACGCUCCGAAAGGAGUGCUAAUACCGGAUACUCACAUCGAGGCACAUGCCUUGAUGUGGAAAGUUUUUCGGAAAGGGAUGGAGUCGCGGCCUAUCAGCUUGUUGGUGAGGUAACGGCUCACCAAGGCGACGACGGGUAGCCGGCCUGAGAGGGCGACCGGCCACACUGGGACUGAGACACGGCCCAGACUCCUACGGGAGGCAGCGGUGGGGAAUAUUGCACAAUGGGCGAAAGCCUGAUGCAGCGACGCCGCGUGAGGGAUGAAGGUCUUCGGAUUGUAAACCUCUUUCAGUAGGGACGAAGCGAAAGUGACGGUACCUAAAGAAGAAGCACCGGCUAACUACGUGCCAGCAGCCGCCGUAA
rnacentral:rRNA from 1 species